AGAUUCUCUGAACCUGCUACUCCUUAUUCCAGUGAGUAGCUUAGCCUGGCCCUUAAGCCUUCUUGCUGCCCCUGAUACCUCAGUGAGCAAUAGGACUUAGGUUUAGUAAUCGUAGCUUAAUCUAUGCGUUUUUCCCCUGCUACCUUCCCGGAGACCAGCAGGUCUGGUUAACCCAAUAGAAAUGCCUUGCUCAAUAGAGCUGGCGGUGUGCACACCAAUAUUUACAAUAACUGAGGCUUUUUACCAGUAUUCCCCCUUUCGCAAUUCGCCACCAAAAUGUUAUACCAAUAAAAUAAAAACCAGCAGGAUCUUAUUAAAGGGGAAAAGGCAAAAUACCACAUUUAUUGUGAAUACAGAAAGAAUCAUAGUAACCAGUUAGUUAUAGCUAUAACAUUCCAUUC